AGUGAACGCUGGCGGUAGGCCUAACACAUGCAAGUCGAACGGCAGCACAGUAAGAGCUUGCUCUUACGGGUGGCGAGUGGCGGACGGGUGAGGAAUACAUCGGAAUCUACUUUUUCGUGGGGGAUAACGUAGGGAAACUUACGCUAAUACCGCAUACGACCUACGGGUGAAAGCAGGGGAUCUUCGGACCUUGCGCGAUUGAAUGAGCCGAUGUCGGAUUAGCUAGUUGGCGGGUAAAGGCCCACCAAGGCGACGAUCCGUAGCUGGUCUGAGAGGAUGAUCAGCCACACUGGAACUGAGACACGGUCCAGACUCCUACGGGAGGCAGCAGUGGGGAAUAUUGGACAAUGGGCGCAAGCCUGAUCCAGCCAUACCGCGUGGGUGAAGAAGGCCUUCGGGUUGUAAAGCCCUUUUGUUGGGAAAGAAAAGCAGCAGGUUAAUACCCCGCUGUUCCGACGGUACCCAAAGAAUAAGCACCGGCUAACUUCGUG
rnacentral:rRNA from 1 species